rnacentral:rRNA from 1 species
UGAUAUUAAUUCAAUGGCCGCGGUAUUUUAACCGUGCAAAGGUAGCGUAAUCACUUGCCCUUUAAAUGAGGACCCGUAUGAACGGCUAAACGAGGGCUUAACUGUCUCCUUUUCCUAAUCAAUGAAAUUGAUCUCCCCGUGCAAAAGCGGGGAUGAUAAUAUAAGACGAGAAGACCCUGUGGAGCUUCAAGAUACCCUAUAGACCCGCUAAAAAUUUUCUAAUAAAGAACUAAAGCUAAAAGUAACUAGUAGAUAUCUUCAGUUGGGGCGACUGCGGAACACACAAAACUCCCGCGAAGACUAAGAACAUAUAAUUAUUCUUAAAACUUAGAACCACCAUUCAAGACAAUAGAAUCUCUAACUUUUUUUGAUCCAACCCGUUGAUCAACGAACCAAGUUACCCCAGGGAUAACAGCGCAAUCCCCUUACAGAGUCCCUAUCGACAAGGGGGUUUACGACCUCGAUGUUGGAUCAGGAUAUCCUAAUGGUGCAACCGUUAUUAAGGGUUCGUUUGUUCAACGAUUAAAAUCCUACGUGAUCU